CUCCCCUCUCUUCUCGCUCAAAUCAUCUCCUCAUUUCUGCUCUCGUGGAAGCAACAUCAUUUUGGGCAUGCAGUGAUCAACGACAAGAAGCAUUAGCAUGGGUUUAAUUUUACCCCCAAACUCUACCCACAUUUUCCCAUCGGCUUGAUCGACAGGACACGAUUUGUGUAGGGGUUUUCUUGUGGAUGGCACUGACAUAGCAUCUACAAUCUCCAUCUCCGCCCUUCAUGUCAAGCACAUUCUCUAGAUUUGGUUUAGAAUGAGUGUAAGGCUCAUGAAAAAUCAAUAUUUAUAUCGAUACAAAGACCUAGAUGGAGAUUCACCAGCGAAGACCGAGGCAGGUUACCCAACCUCAAACCCUUGACGUUUAUCUCGAAGAAGCACGAGUUACAAGAAUGAGUGGUUGGGGCUAAGGCGUCUACUGGUGGAUCUAGGGAACAAAUUUUAGAGAUCUCGAACAGGUUCUUAUUCUCGUGCAUCAUCAUCGACAUAGCCCUAGGGUCGAAUCCAGUGCAUGAGGCUCUUGAUACCGGAUUUUGUAAGCUGGAUGAGCAUGACUCCUCUUUUGAAGACCUUCAACUGAUUGUGAGUAAAAUAACACUUUUCUAUGUUUCAAAGCUGAUCUUUAGAAUUAUUGUAGAGUGAUGCGCAUUAUUCGGUUUAUCUUCUUAGGUGCAUGAUGGACUCAAAGUUGACUUGUACUUUGGGAGGCAUAGGAUAAGUAUUAUUUACUGUAUAUUCAUUUGUCUCUUUCUUAUAUCUGCAUUUCCUGUGUGCAAUCAAUUCACUGUUCAUGACAGUCUUAUCAGAUUUGACUAUUACAAGUUCUUGUCCCCGCUAAUUUGGUAGCUCUCCUACUACUAACAUGCUCUAUUAGGAAUGUAGUUUGACUUCUAGGGUCUUUUAUCUUAGCCUUUGUUGUUCUAGGGCAGACCCUAGAGCUUCCAAUUGCUCUUCAAAAAUCUGAUUCUCUAGAGACUAUUUUUAGCAAUCUUAUCACGACUCUCUCUUUAGAUGGUGUUCACUGUGUUGAGAGCCUAUGGUCUUUCAUUGUCUCUCUAUUAGAAGGCUUUAUUUUGGCUUCUCUAAGGAAUGCUUCAUUAUAGUGAUUAUCUUUGAUAACCUUUGCUAAACAUUGCUUCAAAAUGCAAACCAAUUCUAAUAUAGGUGGUAACAUUGCUUCAAAAUGCAAACCAAUUCUAAUAUGUUACCACCUAUAUAGGCUGUGACUAUCAUUGUAAACUAUUAUUCUAUAUUGUAAAAUGCCUGAUGACUGCUCAUGGGCUGUCUUGAGGCUGCUCAACACUAACACCAUGUCAACAUGACUGUCUUUACCUCUUUGAUUGUUAAAAGAUGACUUCUCUUUGAUGACUCAUUGUCCUUUGGUCUCAUUAUUCUGAAGCUCAUGAAGCCUGUUGUUCUCCUUGUGACUGAAAAUCAUCAAUGUAUGCUAUUGUCCUUUCAUGGUUUCCUUAGCAUGAAUAUUGUUUUGUUGUCUUCUUUUUGAUAUAAGGUCUCUUGCAUUCAUGUUUAGGACCCUCUUCUUCUUAUGACUGCAAAUAUCUCUUGUUCUUUUAGCUUUGGCAAUGUCUUUAAGGUCUGAGAUUCGUUUGGAACUAUCUUCAUCCUGCUUUUCAAACUCUUUGCUAAUAUGAUACCACUACUGUGAUUAUUUAGAGAGUGACCUCUUCUUGUUGUCUUAGGUCCAAGACACAUUUCUCCCUUACUGCUAAAGCCUAUCUUCAGAGUUUGUCUUCUCUUGUUGACUUAGACCUUGACAGAUCCAUGAUCUUAACUCUUCAAGAUUCUAAGCUUUGUGAUUAUGACCUUAACCUUCUUGGCUAUGACUGUUCUAGCAUUAGCAUUUACUGUUCUUAAUGUUGUGAGAGUCCUAAUAAGAACUUAUCACUGCAAACAACUUCAUUACCUUGAACUUUGAAGGACUGCAUUUUUCGAUUCCUAAUCACUGAAACUUUGUUGGGGGUUGUAUUUUUUUUAUUGCCUUUGUAGCUCAGUUCCUUUUGGACUAUGAUCCCAAUCUACUAGGUCUACUGGUCUCUAAUUUGUAUCUUCAUUCUCACCCAUAGGCAGCUAACACCAGGUAAAUAAUCUCAAACUUUUAUCAUGUGACUGAAACACAAUCAAGAUUGCAAUUUCUAACAUUCUGUGAGUGCUAUGAAACCACAUGCAAGUACUAUUCAAGUAAGUUAGAAUAGUAACGAAGUGUAAUUAGCUAGUAUACAUAUAAGAUUAUGGAAAUAAGGGAGAACAUAUAACUUACAUAUGGAAGCUUAGAGCUUAGUUGUAAUAGAGUGCAUACAUAGAUUUUGACAAUUCAUCAGUGCAUUGUGUUUGGGGAUGCCAUGGUCCUCAGUUGUGGGGACUUUGAUUGCCAAUCCAUGUCUCUUUUUGGAGUAGUCAUAAAUUCUAGCACUAUUGUAGUCUCGCCCUCCAUUUGUUUCUACCUUGCAAUGAGUUAGUUAUUUUUUUUUUCAGAGUAAAAAGUUGUUUUUUUGUUAACCAACAAAAUAAAAAAAAGCACAUACAAAAACCGAUUUGUCAUUUUUUAGUUUCUUAUAAAUAUUUAUUGAACGUUUAUUUGUGCACUAUCGAAUAUUUUAUAUCUCAAUAUGACGUAUACAAUUUUUUUUGUUUUUGCAAAAAUGUGUUGAUAAACUCCAAGGGGAUAAAGUUAUGGUGUUGGAUCCAUUUGAUGGUGUUGCUGUGGUCAUUGGGUUGAUUCACUCACUAUCUAUUGUACAUGGAGUCAACUUGAAAGGAAUGAGAGAUGCAAAUGUAAAUAUUUUAAAGGUCACAAGUAACACACAUCUUCUUUACGAAGACAAAAUAGAGGGAGUUGUCCGCUUUGAAGAGAAAAAAUGAACCUUCACAUGGUGGCCACUAAAAUAUUUACAAAAAAAUGACAUAGUUGAUGUGUAUCAUGUACUGAUAGUCAGACAACAUGGCCUACUACUUUAUGCAGUGGUUUGAAUGUGUUGUUCAGGGAUCUUUAUCUUUAAUAAUAUGUUUAUUUCUCUAUCUUUA